AAGGAUGUAUGCAGAGAUCGUGGCAAGUGGAAAGAUGUACUCUCUGCCUACCCCUCCGGGAAAGAGGCGUGAUUUUAUGUAUGUAUAUAUACUAAUGCUAAUAUUAUACUUAUUCUUAAUAGGUUCAGCAGAAUAGUUGUAUACACUGUUACAAAUAAUAAAGGUACUCUUAUUUGCGCUAUAGAAUUAGAUAUAGGCGUUUAAUUUUAA